rnacentral:rRNA from 1 species
CAGCAGCCGCGGGAAAACGUAGGUGGCAAGCGUUGUCCGGAAUUAUUGGGCGUAAAGGGCUCGCAGGCGGUUUCUUAAGUCUGAUGUGAAAGCCCCCGGCUCAACCGGGGAGGGUCAUUGGAAACUGGGAAACCUGAGUGCAGAAGGGGAGAGUGGAAUUCCACGUGUAGCGGUGAAAUGCGUAGAGAUGUGGAGGAACACCAGUGGCGAAGGCGACUCUCUGGUCUGUAACUGACGCUGAGGAGCGAAAGCGUGGGGAGCGAACAGGAUUAGAUACCCCAGUAGUCCCUGUCUCUUAUAC